CUAUGCUAAGCUGAAAGGCGACGUAUAUGGGCUGACACCUGCCCAGUGCCGGAAGGUUAAGAGGAGGAGUGAGAGCUCCGAAUUGAAGCCCCGGUGAACGGCGGCCGUAACUAUAACGGUCCUAAGGUAGCGAAAUUCCUUGUCGGGUAAGUUCCGACCUGCACGAAUGGUGAAAUGAUUUGGGAGCUGUCUUGGCUGGAGACCUGGUGAAGUUGUAAUGCCGGUGAAGAUACCGGCUACCUGCAGUAGGACGGAAAGACCCCGUGGAGCUUUACUGCAGUCUGGCAUUGGGUUUUGGCUGCGUGUGUAUAGGAUAGUUGGGAGACUGUGAAGCUGAGGCGUCAGUUUCAGCCGAGUCGCCGUUGGAAUACCAACCAUAUGCCGUUGAAAUUCUAAUCUGGUAACGGAGACAGUGCUAGAUGGGCAGUUUGACUGGGGCGGUCGCCUCCAAAAGAGUAACGGAGGCGUUCAAAGGUUCCCUCAGGCUGGAUGGAAAUCAGCCUAGGAGUGCAAACGCAUAAGGGAGCUUGACUGCAAGACUGACGGGUCGAGCAGGCACGAAAGUGGGAGUUAGUGAUCCGGCGGUUCCGUAUGGAAGGACCGUCGCUCAACGGAUAAAAGCUACCCCGGGGAUAACAGGCUGAUACUUCCCAAGAGUCCAUAUCGACGGAAGUGUUUGGCACCUCGAUGUCGGCUCGUCUCAUCCUGGGGCUGGAGAAGGUCCCAAGGGUUGGGCUGUUCGCCCAUUAAAGAGGCACGCGAGCUGGGUUCAGAACGUCGUGAGACAGUUCGGUCCCUAUCCACUGCAGGCGCCUGAAUACUGAAAAGAUCUGACCUUAGUACGAGAGGACCGGGUUGGACAGACCUCUGAUGUACCAGUUGUCACGCCAGUGGCACGGCUGGGUAGUCACGUCUGGAACGGAUAACCGCUGAAAGCAUCUAAGCGGGAAGCCGGCUUUGAGAUGAGUGUUCGCAGUAUCCAUGGAGAACACAUGGUUGAUAGGCCAGAGGUGCAAGCGCAGCAAUGCGUUCAGCUGACUGGUACUAAUAUUACGUAUGCUUUUUAGG
rnacentral:rRNA from 1 species